GUUCGGAUAGCUCAGUCGGUAGAGCAUCGAAUUUUUAAUCUGAGGGUCCAGGGGUCAAGUCCCUGUUUGAGCU